AUUGAACGCUGGCGGCAUGCCUUACACAUGCAGGUCGAACGGCAGCAUGGAGAGCUUGCUCUCUGAUGGCGAGUGGCGAACGGGUGAGUAAUGCAUCGGAACGUACCGUGUAAUGGGGGAUAACGUAGCGAAAGUUACGCUAAUACCGCAUACGACCUGAGCGUGAAAGCAGGGGAUCGCAAGACCUUGCGUUAUACGAGCGGCCGAUGUCAGAUUAGCUAGUUGGUGAGGUAAAAGCUCACCAAGGCGACGAUCUGUAGCGGGUCUGAGAGGAUGAUCCGCCACACUGGGACUGAGACACGGCCCAGACUCGUACGGGAGGCAGCAGUGGGGAAUUUUGGACAAUGGGGGCAACCCUGAUCCAGCCAUGCCGCGUGAGUGAAGAAGGCCUUCGGGUUGUAAAGCUCUUUCGGCCGGGAAGAAAUCGCACAGGCUAAUACUCUGUGUGGAUGACGGUACCGGCAUAAGAAGCACCGGCUAACUACGUGCCAGCCGCCGCGGUAA
rnacentral:rRNA from 1 species